UACGUAGGUGGCAAGCGUUGUCCGGAUUUACUGGGCGUAAAGAGCGCGCAGGCGGUCGUCCAAGUCGCGUGUGAAAGCCCCCGGCUCAACUGGGGAGGGUCACGCGAUACUGGUCGACUCGAAGGCAGGAGAGGGUAGUGGAAUUCCCGGUGUAGUGGUGAAAUGCGUAGAUAUGGGAGGAACACCAGUGGCGAAGGCGACUACCUGGCCUGUUCUUGACGCUGAGGCGCGAAAGCUAGGGGAGCAAACGGG
rnacentral:rRNA from 1 species